rnacentral:rRNA from 1 species
UGGGGAAUAUUCCGCAAUGGACGAAAGUCUGACGGAGCAACGCCGCGUGAGUGAUGAAGGUUUUCGGACUGUAAAGCUCUGUUGUUUAGGACGAAAGUGCCUGCUGCAAACAGUUGCAGGUAUUGACGGUACUGAACGAGGAAGCCACGGCUAACUACGUGCCAGCAGCCGCGGUAAUACGUAGGUGGCAAGCGUUGUCCGGAAUUAUUGGGCGUAAAGAGCAUGUAGGCGGGAAUCUAAGUCUGUUGUGAAAAUGCGGGGCUCAACCCCGUAUGGCGAUGGAAACUGGAUUUCUUGAGUGCAGGAGAGGAAAGGGGAAUUCCCAGUGUAGCGGUGAAAUGCGUAGAUAUUGGGAGGAACACCAGUGGCGAAGGCGCCUUUCUGGACUGUGUCUGACGCUGAGAUGCGAAAGCCAGGGUAGCGAACGG